rnacentral:rRNA from 1 species
GAGUUUGAUCGUGGCUCAGAUUGAACGCUGGCGGCAUGCCUUACACAUGCAAGUCGAACGGCAGCACGGGAGCUUGCUCCUGGUGGCGAGUGGCGAACGGGUGAGUAAUGCAUCGGAACGUAUCCUGGAGUGGGGGAUAACGUAGCGAAAGUUACGCUAAUACCGCAUAUUCUGUGAGCAGGAAAGCGGGGGACCUUCGGGCCUCGCGCUCUUGGAGCGGCCGAUGUCGGAUUAGCUAGUUGGUGAGGUAAAGGCUCACCAAGGCGACGAUCCGUAGCAGGUCUGAGAGGAUGAUCUGCCACACUGGAACUGAGACACGGUCCAGACUCCUACGGGAGGCAGCAGUGGGGAAUUUUGGACGAAUGGGGGCAACCCUGAUCCAGCCAUGCCGCGUGAGUGAAGAAGGCCUCGGUGUAAG